CUGAGAGGGCACACGGCCACACUGGCACUGAAACACGGGCCAGACUCCUACGGGAGGCAGCAGAGGGGAAUCUUGCACAAUAGGGGAAACCCUGAUGCAGCGACGCCGCGUGAGCGAUGAAGCCCUUCGGGGUGUAAAGCUCUUUCGACAGGGAAGAUAGUGACGGUACCUGGAGAAGCAGCUGCGGCUAACUACGUGCCAGCAGC
rnacentral:rRNA from 1 species